UGGCUAAGCUGGUAAAGCGUCUGCCUACAAUGCGGGAGACCAGGGUUCAAUCCCUG
rnacentral:tRNA from 1 species